UCUAGGAAGGUAAGAAAGACUUCAAGUCUGAGAAGGGGCUGGCCAGGCAGAGAUCUCAGGAAGCCCAUUCCGAGCUGCAAAGAAAGCCAAAUACAGAGUUAUCAGGUGGAGGGAGACUGAUGUAUUCUAGGAAGAGCAUAAGGCUAGGAUGGCCGGGAGCCGUGCACAGGGAGGAAAGUAGCUACAGAUGAGACCACAGACAUAGAAAACCGAAUUACCUUGCCCACAGCUGAUAACUAAGAAAGAAGGGAGAAAUUCAUCAAUGAGAAGCUGGAGAACAAAGUCAGGAAAGGCCCUAUCUGCCUGACUGCUGGAAACCCCUGCUCUCAAGUCACUGCCCCAGACCUGGUGUAGUUCUCCUCAGGACCCCUCUCCUCUGCAU